AUCUCUACUUGGAGAUUACUUUCUUUGGAGUGUUUAGUGAGCCCUGAUUCUUGGAAGGGGUGACUCCUUGUUGGCUUUGAAUCAGUGGAACUUAACCUCUGAGUAAAACUGAAGAUGGGAGAAGCCUGUCCCGUACAUCCCGUGCCCCCGCAAGACGCUUACUACAACAUGCAUGACAUAUAGAUCUGGAAGAAUACCUCAGAAAAGUUCUAGAAUGUUUGUUAUAAUAAUAAUGGCAAUGAUAAGUAAGUUUGUUUGUUUGUUAAGCACUUACAGUGUUCUCAUAAUGAACUUGACUUGGCUGUGUUUACUCCUUUUAUGUUUACUUUUUGCAAAUGUUCAUUGGGUUUAUUAUUCUCACAGGAAUGUUUGCUGAAAUGUUCAUUUUAAAGAGGAUUUUGGAAGACAUUCUUAAAUUGUAAAUUUUAAACUCAUAAAUAUUAGAGCCAUUAGAGAGUAUUCAUUUACUUACGAAUUAUGGUUAUCAUCUUAGAGAACAAAAGAAAUGUUUUAUCCAAUUAUAGUUAACACAAGGGAAAAUAACAGAUUUUGCUAGCAAUGAGCUGCUUGAAUGUAAUGUGCCAAGUAAGAUAUUUUCUUAGCACUUGAAAUGUUAAUUCUGUAGUGAUUCCUACCAACUGAUGAACGUAGAUAUUGUGUGUAUUUCUCUACUCACGUGCCUCCCUCUGCAGGGUAUAUGGUUCUGUUGUAAACUUAACCAGGGAGAAGUUAAAUUCACAAAUCAGUCUUUUUGAUUGUGUGUGUUGUAUGUGCUUGUGGUGCUCAUAAAAAGAAAUCCUUAAUUCAUGUAAUCAAUGGCCAUAACAAAUCAUUC
rnacentral:lncRNA from 1 species